rnacentral:lncRNA from 1 species
GUAUAAUAAUAAUUAAUUAAUUAAUUAAUUAAAUUAAAUUUAAGAAAGUAAAAAAGGAAAUGAGGGAAAUAUACUACUAAAAACACAUAAAACAAUAACAAUAUAACUGGCAAUAACAACUUCAUUUCUUUAAGCAAUCAUUUUAAAUAUAAAUUAAUUAAACUAUUUAAUAAAAUGAAAUGUAAUCGUAGGACUUUGUAAGGCCAAGGUAGGCUGAUCACUUGAUCCCAGGAGUUCAAGAGCAGAAUGGGCAGUAUGGCAAAACUCUGUCUCAGCAAAGAAUACAAAAAAGGUAGCUGGGUGUGAUGGCACAUACUUGUAAUCCAGCUACUUGAGAGGCUGAAAUGAGAGGAUCAUCUGAGUUUGGGAGGUUCGGGCAGCAGUGAACCCAGCAAAUCAACCUGGUUGACAGAGUGAGACCCUAUCUCCAAAAUACACGAGGCUGGGUGUGGUGGCUCAGGCCUGUAAUCCCAACACGUUAAGAUGCUGAGGUAGGCCGCCUGGUCUCUACUAAAAAUAGAAAAAAAUUAGCCAAGCAUGGUGGCAGGUUCCUGUAAUCCCAGCUACUUGGGAGGCUGAGGCAGGAAAAUCGCUUGAACCUGGGAGGCAGAGGUUGCAGUGAGCUGAGAUUGCACCAUUGCACUUGUCCAGUCUGGGCAACGAGCGAAACUCCAUCUGGAAUAAAAAAGCAAAGAAUUUAUAAAUAAAUACAAUUAUAUGAAGAAAAAAUAGAAUGCCUGAUUGGUUUUUUUAUAAAGCAAACAAUAUGCUCCCUACAAGAGACUCAUUUUAGCAUUGAUUCAAGUAGGCUGAAAGUAAUAGAAUAAAAAAAGUAUAUUCCAUGAAAAUAGUACCACAAUUGAGUGAGGUGGUCAUAAUUAUAUUAGACAUAAUAUGCUUUAAGUCAAGUACUGCCAUGAGACAAUGACUGAUAUUAUAUUAUGAUAAAGUGAGUUGAUUUAGCAGGAAUCUAUAACUAUUUAUCUAUCUGCAUAUGUGUAUAUAACAUCAGAGCUUUAAAAUAUAUAAAGCAAAUAUUGACAAAAGUGAAGCAAGACAUACAUAACAACAUAAUAAUUGUAGACAUCAAGACCCCAUUUGCAGUAAUAAAUAGAAAAUUAAGGUAAAA